rnacentral:rRNA from 1 species
UGCAGUCGAACGGCAGCACGGGAGCAAUCCUGGUGGCGAGUGGCGAACGGGUGAGUAAUACAUCGGAACGUGCCCUGUCGUGGGGGAUAACUAGUCGAAAGAUUAGCUAAUACCGCAUACGACCUGAGGGUGAAAGCGGGGGACCGUAAGGCCUCGCGCGAUAGGAGCGGCCGAUGUCUGAUUAGCUAGUUGGUGGGGUAAAGGCCCACCAAGGCGACGAUCAGUAGCUGGUCUGAGAGGACGAUCAGCCACACUGGGACUGAGACACGGCCCAGACUCCUACGGGAGGCAGCAGUGGGGAAUUUUGGACAAUGGGGGCAACCCUGAUCCAGCAAUGCCGCGUGUGUGAAGAAGGCCUUCGGGUUGUAAAGCACUUUUGUCCGGAAAGAAAUCCCUUGCCCUAAUACGGCGGGGGGAUGACGGUACCGGAAGAAUAAGCACCGGCUAACUACGUGCCAG